UAACUGAAGAGUUUGAUCCUGGCUCAGAGUGAACGCUGGCGGCAGGCCUAACACAUGCAAGUCGAGCGGCAGCACAGGAGAGCUUGCUCUCUGGGUGGCGAGCGGCGGACGGGUGAGGAAUACAUCGGAAUCUGCCCAGUUGUGGGGGAUAACGUAGGGAAACUUACGCUAAUACCGCAUACGACCUACGGGUGAAAGCAGGGGACCUUCGGGCCUUGCGCGACUGGAUGAGCCGAUGUCGGAUUAGCUUGUUGGUGAGGUAAAGGCUC
rnacentral:ncRNA from 1 species